AGCAACAAAUGCCCUGCUUCCAGGAAAAGCCUCUAAGCAUCAGGUAACAUCAAAUCGUACCCCAAACCGACACAGGUGGUCAGGUAGAGAAUACCAAGGCGCUUGAGAGAACUCGGGUGAAGGAACUAGGCAAAAUGGUGCCGUAACUUCGGGAGAAGGCACGCUGAUAUGUAGGUGAAGUCCCUCGCGGAUGGAGCUGAAAUCAGUCGAAGAUACCAGCUGGCUGCAACUGUUUAUUAAAAACACAGCACUGUGCAAACACGAAAGUGGACGUAUACGGUGUGACGCCUGCCCGGUGCCGGAAGGUUAAUUGAUGGGGUCAGCGCAAGCGAAGCUCUUGAUCGAAGCCCCGGUAAACGGCGGCCGUAACUAUAACGGUCCUAAGGUAGCGAAAUUCCUUGUCGGGUAAGUUCCGACCUGCACGAAUGGCGUAAUGAUGGCCAGGCUGUCUCCACCCGAGACUCAGUGAAAUUGAACUCGCUGUGAAGAUGCAGUGUACCCGCGGCAAGACGGAAAGACCCCGUGAACCUUUACUAUAGCUUGACACUGAACAUUGAGCCUUGAUGUGUAGGAUAGGUGGGAGGCUUUGAAGUGUGGACGCCAGUCUGCAUGGAGCCGACCUUGAAAUACCACCCUUUAAUGUUUGAUGUUCUAACGUGGACCCGUGAUCCGGGUUGCGGACAGUGUCUGGUGGGUAGUUUGACUGGGGCGGUCUCCUCCUAAAGAGUAACGGAGGAGCACGAAGGUUGGCUAAUCCUGGUCGGACAUCAGGAGGUUAGUGCAAUGGCAUAAGCCAGCUUGACUGCGAGCGUGACGGCGCGAGCAGGUGCGAAAGCAGGUCAUAGUGAUCCGGUGGUUCUGAAUGGAAGGGCCAUCGCUCAACGGAUAAAAGGUACUCCGGGGAUAACAGGCUGAUACCGCCCAAGAGUUCAUAUCGACGGCGGUGUUUGGCACCUCGAUGUCGGCUCAUCACAUCCUGGGGCUGAAGUAGGUCCCAAGGGUAUGGCUGUUCGCCAUUUAAAGUGGUACGCGAGCUGGGUUUAGAACGUCGUGAGACAGUUCGGUCCCUAUCUGCCGUGGGCGCUGGAGAACUGAGGGGGGCUGCUCCUAGUACGAGAGGACCGGAGUGGACGCAUCACUGGUGUUCGGGUUGUCAUGCCAAUGGCACUGCCCGGUAGCUAAAUGCGGAAGAGAUAAGUGCUGAAAGCAUCUAAGCACGAAACUUGCCCCGAGAUGAGUUCUCCCUGACCCUUUAAGGGUCCUGAAGGAACGUUGAAGACGACGACGUUGAUAGGCCGGGUGUGUAAGCGCAGCGAUGCGUUGAGCUAACCGGUACUAAUGAACCGUGAGGCUUAACCUUACAACGCCGAAGGUGUUU
rnacentral:rRNA from 2 species